rnacentral:rRNA from 1 species
UGCAUGCAGCAAUGCCACUUGGGCUUUGACUUUGUCAGAUCUCACAAAAUAAAGCAUGGUUGGUCUGGGCCAAGUCAGUACUGGGAUGGGAAACCACCAAGAAAAAAAUCCAGGCGCUGCAGUAA